rnacentral:rRNA from 1 species
UAGUUGGAAGUAAAAAGUCGUAACAAGGUCUCCGUUGGUGAACCAGCGGAG